CUUAGUUAGUUUUGAAACUAAAAUGUUAAAUUGUGGAUUUAAAGAUGAAAUAAAGUCACUAAGUA
rnacentral:tRNA from 1 species